rnacentral:rRNA from 1 species
AUGAACGCUGGCGGCGUGCCUCAUCCAUGCAAGUCGAGCGAACAGACGAGGAGCUUGCUCCUCUGACGUUAGCGGCGGACGGGUGAGUAACACAUGGAUAACCUACCUAUAAGACUGGGAUAACUUCGGGAAACCGGAGCUAAUACCGGAUAAUAUAUUGAACCGCAUGGUUCAAUAGUGAAAGACGGUUUUGCUGUCACUUAUAGAUGGAUCCGCGCCGCAUUAGCUAGUUGGUAAGGUAACGGCUUACCAAGGCAACGAUGCGUAGCCGACCUGAGAGGGUGAUCGGCCACACUGGAACUGAGACACGGUCCAGACUCCUACGGGAGGCAGCAGUAGGGAAUCUUCCGCAAUGGGCGAAAGCUUGACGGAGCAACGCCGCGUGAGUGAUGAAGGUCUUCGGAUCGUAAAACUCUGUUAUUAGGGAAGAACAAAUGUGUAAGUAACUAUGCACGUCUUGACGGUACCUAAUCAGAAAGCCACGGCUAACUACGUG